rnacentral:lncRNA from 1 species
AGGGGUGGCAAAAUUAUUAAUCCGCCACUGGCCCUGACAACGGGGAGGGUGCCUUGCCCGAGGCGCAGGACCCUAACUUGAUGGGGAGGGAACACCCAGGGACACGGCUCAGGGAGGCUGCGGCUUCAGACCCAGCCAGCGAGAGAGAACAGGUGGCCAUCCCUGUCCCAGCUGCUGAGUUCCAGGCCGAGGUGCAGAAAGAUCCCUCCUUGCGGAAGAUAAGGGACCUGGCCGACCUCAGUGCGGUACAGACCAUGGGGAGAGGUGGCCGGAAAAGGUUCCUGUGGGAGAAGGGGGUUCCUGUACCGAGAAUGGGCUCCCCCAGGGAAAAUGGAGUCGGGGGGAUCAGGAGGCAGCUGGUGGUACCCCAGAAGUAUCGCCGCCAGCUGCUGUACCGGACCCAUUACAUUCCCCUCUCAGGGCACCAGGGAACCUGGCGUACCCAGCAGAGGCUGCUACGGAGCUUUUACUGGCCUGGGGUCUUUACUACUGUCCGACAGUACUGCCGAUCCUGUGACCCCUGUCAGAGGGGGAGGAAGGCCUGGGACAAGGGGAAAACAGCUUUAGGACCCUUGCCCAGCAUAGAGGAGCCUUUCCAGAGGGUGGCCAAGGUUAAAAGGGGGGCUCUGAACCAAGAGAGCCCGAAUCACCGACCUCCAGACUGGAAUGCUGGGAGAAGACCACAGCCCAGUUGGAACCCCAGGGGUAUUGGGGUGGGAAAAGGGCACAGGCCGCAUAAACCUUCCCACAUGCGAACUACGAGUGCCAUCGAGCACACCCGACCUAAGGGGGGCAUGAAACUGGAAGGGCCUGGUGUAAUUCUCACCAAGGAACUGGAGGGAUGCGGGGGCAUCCAUGGGAACGGGGAUAGGUUCGAACUUCCCCGGGUCACUGGCUGAAGUGACCCCGCUCAGUUCGGUCUCGAAGGGGGAGAGAUGUGACGAACUGGGACUGUUCUUAAUGUGGUCUUUGAAUGCUGAGUUGGGAGUGUUGGCUGGGAAGGCAGGGGAGUUUGGCUAGGAUGGUCUGCGUUGGGGGAUGGGAGACUGCCCGAAGGCGAAUACCUGAGCAUGUAACGUGAGAACCCAGGAAGGGGUUAGAGGCCAGGUGACACCUUUGCCCGGGAAACUGAACAAAGG